GGCACGAACAGUACGUUCGACCCAGGACAAGGGUCUCACCAUGGGUCUCAAAUCGACUACCAAGCUUCUGGUAAUGGUGUUCACUGCUUCAAUUGUGACGAUAUGACACACCUCAAGUAUUGCGACAGGGUGACAACAUGUAGGGAAAACGAGGUUUGCUACGUCCAGAGCUACUCCAAGGGUCUCGACGCCAUUCGCUACAAGUCUGGCUGCACAGAUAAGCUA